UACGUAGGGUGCGAGCGUUAAUCGGAAUUACUGGGCGUAAAGGGCUUGUAGGCGGCCAACUAAGUCAGACGUGAAAUCCCUCGGCUUAACCGGGGAACUGCGUCUGAUACUGGAUGGCUUGAGUUCGGGAGAGGGAUGCGGAAUUCCAGGUGUAGCGGUGAAAUGCGUAGAUAUCUGGAGGAACACCCGUGGCGAAGGCGGCUCACUGGGCCGGUCCUGACGCUGAGACGCGAAGGCGUGGGGAGCGAACGGG
rnacentral:rRNA from 1 species